GCCCUACGGGAGGCAGCAGUGGGGAAUAUUGGGCAAUGGGCGCAAGCCUGACCCAGCAACGCCGCGUGAAGGAAGAAGGCUUUCGGGUUGUAAACUUCUUUUCUGAGGGACGAAGAAAGUGGCGGUACCUCAGGAAUAAGCCACGGCUAACUACGGGUCAGCAGCCGCGGUAAUACGUAGGUGGCAAGCGUUAUCCGGAUUUAUUGGGUGUAAAGGGCGUGUAGGCGGGAAAGCAAGGCAGAUGUGAAAACUCAGGGCUCAA
rnacentral:rRNA from 1 species